AGGGGAUAAGAGAGAAGAGGAUAAUUGUCGGUUCUCUUCUUGCAUCGAGAUGCGACCGUAUAAAUACAAAAGAUUAGCAUCAGAUUGACGGAUCUGAAGAAUAAUUUUCCACUCUCUCGUCAUAUGGAAUUUCUUUGACUCACGAGUAAAGUUCACUUUGAAUUAUACGUACUAUUCGCCGAAGGAAUGAUUUGUUGGAAGCCGAUGAAGCUGAUAAAAUCGAUAAAUCUUAUAAAGAUCGUAUACUUUAAUGAUACACAUACAAUGAGAGAAAGAAUAAUUUCGAGAAAAGACUGAGACACAUCACGUACGUUCCUAAAAUGUUCAAAUUGAAGUCGAAGGUCUACUCUGUGGAUUCACGGAUAUGACUCAAGUCGCGAUUUCUAUUUACCCUAAGUACUUUUUAAUUCUUAUAAAAGUAACUUGAAGAAAAUGAGAAAGUACUUUUCUUCAUAUUUUGAAAAAAAGUUAAGGACAGGAUGUACUUUAAAGAGAUUCACAUUCAUUUCUGUUUUCUAAGUAUUUUCGCCGUAUUAACGACAAGUAUUGCGUUCAAGAGUCACGCAAGGCUUUGUUUCUUUCUGCGAACAUAAAAAAAAAUAAAAAGAAAGAAGAAGAAAAAUGAAGGAACGAAGAGGGGUUGUAAUAUGGUGGUAGUGUUAAUGGCGAAUAGGACGAUAUGGUGGUGGUGGUGACAGGGUCGUUCGUGUACGCCGUCGUAAAGUGAAAGCAAGCACCGUUCGCGAGUUCCUCGAAAUCGAUCGGUAAUUUCCGGGGAGAGGUGACUUCACUCAGGGAUUCCAUCGAAGUCACGCUUUCUCGUUUCGUUUUUACAUAUACAUAUAAAAACCUGAAGGAAAGGCUUGACUGCGACAUGGGAUUCGUUAUCACCGGAAGGAACGUUAACUAGAACACUAAUAAGAAUAUCUGAAGCACGAGCUUGAGAGAGAUUGGAAUAAUCAGAGGUCAGAUGUCAAUGCGGAUGUGUAAUUCCCCCUUCCGUAUUGACACGGUGGAACUACACGGUAAAUGCACAAGGGGUAGAACUUUGCUUUUCGAAGGAGCAUUUUUAAAUCACGUACAAGUGUUCUCUCUGUUUGAAGAAAGAAAGAAUAAACAAUUGCGAGGUGGGGGAUGUCAAUUAAAAGAAGGGUAAAAGUAAAAAACAAAAAAGGGUAGAAACGAAGUACGUCCUAAGACAGAUGAAGAAAGCUCAUAUCAGUGUUAUGGACCCAUGGCGUUACGUACACUUGUGAACGAUGGCGACGGCGAUGACAACGACGAGGACGACGACGACGACGACGGCGACGGCGACGACGUACCGCAAAGAAGAUAGAUUACAAAAGACGCCAUUUUGAAAGGACCAAGAAUGCAGUCGAAAGAUUAACCGUGAAGUAAGUAGAGUAUCGAAGAGAAGAAGAACAAGAAGAAGAAGAAGUGGAGGGGAAAGAGAAAGCGGAAUGAGAGCAAGAAGUCGAAGACAUAAUAAUCGGUGGCCUUUGCACGGCCUUUUCUGUCUUACAAGAAGAAGAAGAAGAAGAAGAAGAAGAUGAAGUAGCAGGAUAGGUGGAAGAAGACGAAGGAAGGAAGGAAGGAAAAGAAGAGUUCGAAGACGCCGUCUUGGUCGUCGUCGUCGUCGUCGUCGUAGUCGUAGGUAAAGUUGAGGACAGUAGUACUGACGAUG